AUUGAACGCUGGCGGCAUGCCUUACACAUGCAAGUCGAACGGCAGCACGGGAGCAAUCCUGGUGGCGAGUGGCGAACGGGUGAGUAAAGUAUCGGAACGUGCCCAGUCGUGGGGGAUAACGUAGCGAAAGUUACGCUAAUACCGCAUACGAUCUAUGGAUGAAAGCGGGGGAUCGCGAGACCUCGCGCUAUUGGAGCGGCCGAUAUCAGAUUAGGUAGUUGGUGGGGUAAAGGCUCACCAAGCCGACGAUCUGUAGCUGGUCUGAGAGGACGACCAGCCACACUGGGACUGAGACACGGCCCAGACUCCUACGGGAGGCAGCAGUGGGGAAUUUUGGACAAUGGGCGAAAGCCUGAUCCAGCCAUGCCGCGUGCAGGAUGAAGGCCUUCGGGUUGUAAACUGCUUUUGUACGGAACGAAAAGGUUUGGCCUAAUAAGCUGAGCUCAUGACGGUACCGUAAGAAUAAGCACCGGCUAACUACGUGCCAGCAGCCGCGGUAA
rnacentral:rRNA from 1 species